rnacentral:rRNA from 1 species
AUACGGAGGAUCCGAGCGUUAUCCGGAUUUAUUGGGUUUAAAGGGUGCGCAGGCGGGAGAUUAAGUCGGCGGUGAAAUUUUGCAGCUCAACUGUAAAAGUGCCUUCGAAACUGGUUUCCUUGAGUGUAGAUGAAGUAGGCGGAAUUUGUGGGGUAGCGGUGAAAUGCAUGUAUAUCAAGAGGAAAUCCGAUUGCGCAGGCAGCUUACCAAACUACUACUGACGCUCAGGCACGAAGGCGUGGGGAUCAAACAGGAUUAGAUACCCUGGUAGUCCACGCAGUAAACGAUGAUUACUAGCUGUUUGCGAUACAAUGUAAGCGGCUGAGCGAAAGCGUUAAGUAAUCCACCUGGGGACUACGUUCGCAAGAAUGAACCUCAAAGGAAUUGACGGGG